CAACUCGGACAGAACACAUCCCCGUGCGGAUGGCGAGGUCUUUGUUGGCUCAGGCUGCCCACUAAGUGCAACCUGAAUUAGCUAUGGCCUCACCGUUGUUAAUUCUGCGCCCUGGCAUGGCUCCGGACGCUCUCGCUCUCUGUUCCCGCUGCUUCACUCGCCAAACCUUGCAACCAGUGGGGUUCACGCGGCGAGGCUUCAUCGCGAGCGGCAUCUUAAAAAACAAGGGAUCUCAAGUUUCGGCAAUGCCUAGGAUCCUGAGGAAAGCAUACUUUUCCUCCAAUGGACUACCAACCGGCUAUUUGUCGAGAAAUGGCCUGGCCCAGUGGUUGAGAAAAAAGCCGCUGCAUGCUAAUCGAUCACCUCUCUUCCACUCCGCAGCUCCUACAGUUGGUUCCCAAUCGCCAACUGCGUCAUCAAUUGGGAAAAAAGACAAUCCGUCACCUCCUGGCUCCCCCGAGGAACUUCCCCAUCGAAGACGACAACGACUGAAGGCUGAACAAGAAGCCAAAUCCUCCAACGAUGACAUUCGCCCUGACGCCUCCUCCCGCCUCUCCACAUUAUCAUCCUCUCUCCCGAAGUCCUCCCUACGGGGAACAAUGGCAGCGUACCUUGCUCUUACAAAACCAAAUCUAUCCUUCCUCGUAGUUCUCACUGCGACAACUGCUUAUGGUCUCUACCCAAUCCCGACACUCCUUGCAUUAGACUCAUCAGUAACGCCUCUCCCGGCACUAUCCACUUCUACUCUGACUUUUAUUUACCUUACAAUUGGUACCUUCCUCGCAUCUGCAAGCGCCAACACCCUAAACAUGUUCUUUGAACCCCAAUAUGACGCGCGAAUGUCACGUACUCGUAACAGGCCCCUGGUUCGCAAACUCCUAUCCCCCAGAGCCGCCCUAAUAUUUGCUGCUGUGACAGGGACAGUAGGUGUCACUGCCCUAUACAUGGGAACAAAUCCGACUGUCGCCGCACUUGGUGCUUUCAAUCUUUUCCUGUAUGCAUUCGUUUACACUCCCCUCAAACGUAUUUCUGUGAUAAACACCUGGGUCGGCGCUCUCGUCGGUGGAAUCCCCCCACUGAUGGGUUGGGCUGCCGCUGCUGGCCAAACUGCUACGACAGGCCACGACGGCUGGCGCGACCUCCUCUUCGGCCCUGAUAGUCCUGGCGGCUGGCUCAUGGCCGCGAUCUUAUUUGCAUGGCAAUUCCCACACUUCAACUCCCUCUCCCACACUAUCCGUGAAGAAUACAAGAACGCGGGCUAUAAAAUGCUCGCAUGGACGAAUCCAGCUCGAAAUGGCCGUGUUUCACUGCGUUACUCGAUCCUCAUGUUCCCACUUUGCGCUGGCCUGUGGUGGUUCGGAGUGGUUGAUAAAGGGUUCUUGAUCGGGGGAACGCUGGUCAAUUGCUGGCUAGCCAAGGAGGCGUAUCGAUUCUGGAAACUUCAGGGAGCUGCUGGUAGCUCGAGAGGGUUAUUCUGGGCUAGUGUUUGGCAUUUGCCACUACUGAUGGUAGGGACGCUGAUAACUAAGAAGGGAAUCUGGGAUGGUGUCUGGAGUCGUAUGUUCGGCGAGGAUGACGAAGACGAGGAGGACGAGGAAUAUGAAGUUGAGACGGAAAGAAAACCUGGUAGAGUUCCUGUGGAACCCAUGUUAUCUACGAAACCGAUAACUUGACCGGAUCUUCCCUUUUUUUAAAACUUUGGGACAGAAAACCAUGUACACUAUGUAUUUUCACAUAUAUCAUAUCAUCCCGGCUGUCGGAACAAUAAUUUCAUCAUCAGGGGGUUUCUCUAUUGGUUUAGCAGAACGAUGCUUCCACGCAGAGUCAUCUAUUUAGCCAAGGACAUGUGUUCUAUUGCAGACAUGUCAAGAUCUUUCCACUCAGAUAAGAAGAGAAUUGUUCUAUUCUACAACUUACCAUAUUCCGAUCACAAUGCAUAAUGAUUGCACUCUAUGAUUUAGCUGGCGGGGAUUUGGUGCCUAAUGCGGCUCUCACCGCGGAAACAGGACAUCUUCCAUUCC
rnacentral:sRNA from 1 species